rnacentral:ncRNA from 2 species
AAUGUCCUGCUUUCCCGAAGCCCUGCUUUCCUAUGCGGGGUACUUAUGUAGAGAAAGCGGGACAUU